CUACGUGCCAGCAGCCGCGGUAAUACGGAAGGUCCAGGCGUUAUCCGGAUUUAUUGGGUUUAAAGGGAGCGUAGGCUGUUGGUUAAGCGUGUUGUGAAAUGUAGACGCUCAACGUCUGAAUUGCAGCGCAUACUGGUUUCCUUGAGUACGCACAACGUUGGCGGAAUUCGUCGUGUAGCGGUGAAAUGCUUAGAUAUGACGAAGAACUCCGAUUGCGAAGGCAGCUGACGGGAGCGCAACUGACGCUUAAGCUCGAAGGUGCGGGUAUCAAACAGGAUUAGAUACCCUGGUAGUCCGCACAGUAAACGAUGGAUGCCCGCUGUUGGUACCUGGUAUCAGCGGCUAAGCGAAAGCAUUAAGCAUCCCACCUGGGGAGUACGCCGGCAACGGUGAAACUCAAAGGAAUUGACGGGGGCCCGCACAAGCGGAGGAACAUGUGGUUUAAUUCGAUGAUACGCGAGGAACCUUACCCGGGCUUGAA
rnacentral:rRNA from 1 species